CCCAUCUCAGGGUUGCACCUGCAGAGUUUCCAAUACUCUACCAGUCUCAGCUACUGGAGGAAGAGUCAAGCAGAGACAUAUCCAUUCCAUUCCUAGCUUGGGCAGUGUCUAGAGAGUGGAGGGCAAUCUGCUACAAGU